UUUCAUCCUCAGAAAGUGACAGCGGUGAGGAUGAAAAGAAGAAAAAAAAGAAAAUGAAAAUCAGCGAAACGGCAGAGCUGGGGAUUCUAGCAGAAACAGGUCUGGAGGGAAAUACUGAAUUAACUCCUGCAGGAGAAACUAAAGGAGACGAGGAGAAGAAAAAGAAGAAAGACAAAGACUCCAGCUCUUCUUCUUCAUCCGACAGCAGCUCCUCAUCCUCCUCAGACUCAGACAGCGACGAUGACAAGAAGAAGAAGAAGAAGAAGAAGAAGAAGAAGAAGAAGAAGAAGAAGAAGAAGAAGGAUUCAUCUUCAUCAUCAAAUAGCUCUUCAUCAUCAUACAAGAAGAAGAAGAAGAAGAAGAAGAAGAAGAAGAAGAAGAAGAAGAAGAAGAAGAAGGUAAUGAUAGAAAUGAGCUACCUGGCCUGAAACCUAAAUGAAUGUGUUUGUGGAUUCAUUCUUGUCUGUGAUUAUUAAGAUGUCAUUUGCUAAGAAAAUGAAUGUAAAUGCAGAUUAAUCUCUCAAUCCUCAGGAUUCAUCAUCAUCAUCAUCUUCAUCUGACAGUGACCAUGACAAGAAGAAGAAGAAGAAGAAAAAGAAAAAGAAGAAAAAGAAGAAGAAGAAGAAGAAGAAAGUGAAGGUCAGAUUCAUUUACGUACACUGAAAAAAAAAUUGAUGUAGAAACAUUUUUCACAAAUUGCUGGUAGAUGUCACAAAGCAAUUUCAUAACAUAUAAAAUUUUGAAUUAAAAACUAAUAGUAUUUUCUUGUAAAACAUAUUCCAAU
rnacentral:lncRNA from 1 species